UACGUAGGGGGCAAGCGUUAUCCGGAUUUAUUGGGUUUAAAGGGUGCGCAGGCGGCCUGUUAAGUCAGCGGUAAAAGCCCGGGGCUCAACCCCGGCGAGCCGUUGAAACUGGCGGGCUGGAGUUGGAGAGAAGUACGCGGAAUGCGCGGUGUAGCGGUGAAAUGCAUAGAUAUCGCGCAGAACUCCGAUUGCGAAGGCAGCUCACUGGACUGCAACUGACACUGAGGCUCGAAAGUGUGGGUAUCAAACAGG
rnacentral:rRNA from 1 species